rnacentral:rRNA from 1 species
UACGAAGGGUGCAAGCGUUACUCGGAAUCACUGGGCGUAAAGCGCACGUAGGCGGAUUGCUAAGUCAGGGGUGAAAUCCUGGAGCUCAACUCCAGAACUGCCUUUGAUACUGGCGAUCUUGAGUCCGGGAGAGGUGAGUGGAACUGCGAGUGUAGAGGUGAAAUUCGUAGAUAUUCGCAAGAACACCAGUGGCGAAGGCGGCUCACUGGCCCGGUACUGACGCUGAGGUGCGAAAGCGUGGGGAGCAAACAGG